UACGGCUCAGUAACACGUAGUCAACCUACCCUAUGGACGGGGAUAACCUCGGGAAACUGAGAAUAAUACCCGAUAGAACACUAUACCUGGAAUGGUUUGUGUUCCAAACAAUUUAUUGCCGUAGGAUGGGACUGCGGCCUAUCAGUUUGUUGGUGAGGUAAUGGCCCACCAAGACUAUUACAGGUACGGGCUCUGAGAGGAGUGGCCCGGAGAUGGGUACUGAGACACGGACCCAGGCCUUAUGGGGCGCAGCAGGCGAGAAAACUUUGCAAUGUGCGAAAGCACGACAAGGUUAAUCCGAGUGGUUUCUGCUAAAGAAACCUUUUGACAGUCCUAGAAACACUGUUGAAUAAGGGGUGGGCAAGUUCUGGUGUCAGCCGCCGCGGUAAAACCAGCACCUCAAGUGGUCAGGAUGAUUAUUGGGCCUAAAGCAUCCGUAGCCGGCUCUGUAAGUUUUCGGUUAAAUCUGUACGCUCAACGUACAGGCUGCUGGGAAUACUGCAGAACUAGGGAGUGGGAGAGAUAGACGGUACUCGGGAGGAAGUGGUAAAAUGCUUUGAUCUCUCGAUGACCACCUGUGGCGAAGGCGGUCUAUCAGAACACGUCCGACGGUGAGGGAUGAAAGCUGGGGGAGCAAACCGGAUUAGAUACCCGGGUAGUCCCAGCUGUAAACUAUGCAAACUCAAUGAUGCAUUGACUUAUGGUCAAUGCAGUGUUGCAGGGAAGCCGUUAAGUUUGCCGCCUGGGAAGUACGUACGCAAGUAUGAAACUUAAAGGAAUUGGCGGA
rnacentral:rRNA from 1 species